CUUCUUUUAUCUCCAAUUCAGGUUUGUGGUUUCAAUUUUCUCUGUUUACUUCUCGAUUGAGGGUUUUUUUUCAAUGAUAAUCUCUGUUCCGACGAAUUGCCUGUGUAUUUUCUCACAUUGGUUCGUUUUUAUUGUGGAUGUUAUUUGCUUGGCAUAUCAAUUUUUCUGUUGCCUUGUCAAAUUUGGGGCUUUGGAAUAUAAUUUAUUCUCUGGGUGUGGAAAUUGCUUGUGGGUCUUCUUCGUAUGCUUCAUACGUACAUUGUUUUAGAAUUUUUGCAUCAUUGCUUGUUAAUCGUUGAUUUUACCACAGAAAACAAACUGUUCUUUCUGAUGGGUUCUAUUUUAAGCUGGAUAGGAGAAAAAAUUGUGCAUUGUAAAAGAUGUUAGAGGG
rnacentral:misc_RNA from 1 species